rnacentral:rRNA from 1 species
GAACCUGCGGUAGGCCUAACACAUGCAAGUCGAACGGCAGCACAGGAGAGCUUGCUCUCUGGGUGGCGAGUGGCGGACGGGUGAGGAAUACAUCGGAAUCUACUCUGUCGUGGGGGAUAACGUAGGGAAACUUACGCUAAUACCGCAUACGACCUACGGGUGAAAGCAGGGGAUCUUCGGACCUUGCGCGAUUGAAUGAGCCGAUGUCGGAUUAGCUAGUUGGCGGGGUAAAGGCCCACCAAGGCGACGAUCCGUAGCUGGUCUGAGAGGAUGAUCAGCCACACUGGAACUGAGACACGGUCCAGACUCCUACGGGAGGCAGCAGUGGGGAAUAUUGGACAAUGGGCGCAAGCCUGAUCCAGCCAUACCGCGUGGGUGAAGAAGGCCUUCGGGUUGUAAAGCCCUUUUGUUGGGAAAGAAAUCCAGCCGGCUAAUACCUGGUUGGGAUGACGGUACCCAAAGAAUAAGCACCGGCUAC